rnacentral:lncRNA from 1 species
UUUUUUAAAAUAACAAACUAAACAAUCAUUUAAAAAUGUAUCACCAAUAGUACUACGCAAUUCAUCCUUGAUGUACUUCAUGGAUGAGAAUGCGCUUUCUACCGUUGCAGUCGCGACAGGUAAAAUUAGAGUCAACUUCACAAGUAAAUAAACAAGUGAAUAUGUUUCCACAAGAUUUUCUUCAACUAACGCUUUUGCCAAAUCACCAAUUCCUUUCAAAUCCGAGAAUCUAGGGUCACCAUGUUUCAUGUGCCAUAUGAAAGUGUCAAGUUGGUGACUAAGAUCUCGAAACUUCAAUUCACCAAACUCAUAUGGAUAAUACUUGGCCAAUGUCAUUAUUCUUUCCUUAUCAAAAUUAGCAAACGAAUUAGUCGGAUUCAAGCUAGCCAUACCAAGAAGCAAGUCAAUACUUGGCAAAUGUCAUUAUUCUUUCCUUAUCAAAAUUAGCAAACGAAUUAGCCGGAUACAAGCUAGUCAUACCAAGAAGCAAGUUACCACUGACAACAUCAAACGACUCUUAAGCUCCUGAAGUUGCAAAUCAAUCACUGUAUAAAAAAGCUCAACACAUAAGUGAUGUGAAUAAGUAACACUAGAAUGCCUAUGCUUCGACUUUCUAGGAAUAUAGAAUUCUUCCAUAUUAGGCACCAAAAAAUCAUGUUUAGCACAAAACAAAGAAACUUCAUCCAUUAAUGAUUUCCAUCCUUCCUCUCUCAUUUUUUGCAACCUUUCCUUUGUAAUGUCAAGAAAUAUUAUGGCAUUAACAAUAUCUUGAUUUUUCUUCUGUAAAGCUUUACUCAGCUCGUUCGACAUCAACAGUACCUUCAACAUCAAGUGAAGCAUGAACACAAAUUCAAAUGAAUUGAUUUUACUCAAAAAAGCUUCAGCUUUCAAUCUAUCAUUAGCCUCAGAACCUUCAUAUUCAAUCACCCCAAGUACAUGAACAAUAGACUCAAAUAAAACAAGAAAGUUAUCUAAUGUUUUACAAUGUGAUCCCCAACUAGUGUCACCUGGUUUUUGAAGCCCUCGUUCUUGAUUUAAUCCUUUCCUACUUUGAACUCCACAACUUUCUACCAACCGCUCCAAUAAUUCUGGUUGAUGGCCCCGAAGUUUAUCUCUCCAUUUAAAGGAUGCUCCAAUCACAUUCAACACAUUAGCAACUAUAGCAAAGAAAGUUUUCACCUCCUUUUAUUUUUAGCAACCGCUACAAGUGUCAACUGUAAUUGAUGAGCAAAACAGUGAAUGCAAUGUGCCGAAGGAGUUUCUUGAAAAAUUAAAGCUUCAAGACCAUUCAUUUUUUCUUGCAUAUUACUAGCUCCAUCAUAGCCUUGUCCACGUAUUUUGGAUGGACUUAAUGAAUGUUUCAUAAGCAAAAAAUGUAUUGCUUCCUUCAAUGACUUUGCAGAGGUAUCACCAACACGAACAAGACCAAUAAAUGGCUCGUUCACUUGGCCUUUUUUGUCAAUAUACCGUAAAGCAAGGGCCAUUUGUUCAUGGUGUGAACUAUCCUUGGACUCACCAAAUAAUAUACCGAAAUAAUUCCCAUCUAAAUCAUUGAUUAUAGCUUUCACGGUUUCUUGUGCACAAGCACUCACAAUGUCCUUUUGAAUUUUUGGUGAAGUCAUCAUAUCAUUUUUUUGUGCAUGUUUCAAUAUGACUCUAUCUACUUGAUGGAGCCUCUUUGCAAGCCAUUCCAUAAGCCUUAUGAAAAGGCCUUUGUUUUUUGAAGAAUCACUUUCAUCAUGACCUCGAAAAGACAAACCAAAGUUCAAUAGGAACCUUACAACAUCGAUUGAUGCAUUUAAAUGAAUUCGGUGCUCAUUUCUUUGUUUCUCAGAUUACUUAUCAAAAGCAACUUGAAUUGAUUGAGAUUGAUUUGAUAAGUCUAACAUCUUGUUGAAAUACUUGUGGUGGAGGUUAUUUACUUGACCACCAACAUGUAAAGGAAGUCUUUCCGAAGCUUUAUUCCAAGCCUUAAAGCCCAUUUUUGUGAAAGAGUCACCCGUACUUUCAUGAACAUAAUCAUUUUUGAAUAAAUAACAACAUAAACAAAAUGCGACAUCUUUCUUCACACUAUACUCUAACCAUCUAGAAUACAGACCUUUAAACCAACCCGGACUAAAUUGACGCAUUUUAUUACCGAAUAAAGUUUUAGGAAACUUAUGAUCAACCGAUUGGCAAGGUGCAUUUUGAAUAUAGUGUCUGCUUACUUCAUCACGUAUUCUAGGACUAUAUUUAUCAAUGGGCACUCUCUCUCCAGGAUCGGGAUCGAGUAAUUUCUCAUCGAACUCAUCAAUAAGAUGGGAGGAAUUGUUUCUAAUAGUAAAACUCGGUUGAGAAGAGUUAAACUUCGUAAAAAAUACGUCCAUAUCAAUUCAUAAGAACAAGAACUUCCUAUUAAAAAUGAGUCCAAUAAAUUUGAGAGUCUAUCAAGAAUACAAACAAACACAAUAUCAAUAGAGCAAUCACACCCAUUUAUCAAGAAUAAAACAAAUACUUCAACUUAUUGAAUCUAAUACUAUUUUUUUUUAAAAAACAGAAAAUAGAAAUUAGCAAUAGAAGAAAAAACAUUUGAUUUCAAAAAUGACCAAAAUGGCUCAAAGUAAGGCACAAAACUAGUAUAAUAGGAGUCCAUAACCUCAAAAUUACAUAUGCUCUUACACUUUUCCAAAUAUCUCGAACAUCAAAUACUAAAACUUAGCAAACUAUUUUUUGGAAACGAAAAAACAAGAACGUACUGAAGACAGCUUCUAAUAGAACAAGCUGAAUCAAACAUACUAAAAAAUUCUUCAAUUUAAAAGAAAAUCAGAGUUUCAAAGUAAGAGAAGCUUUAAGUUGCAAAUGAAAAAUAAGUUUUGAAGUAAGAAAAGCACUAACCAGAGAUUGAGGAAGAAUGGUUCUCUAUUUUGAAGUGAGAAGUGAUGGAGGCAGACUGAUGGAGCCUGUAAGAGAUCUUUGAUUUUUGAUUGAGGAAUAACGAAGAAGUGAAGAAGAAGAUCUAGGGAAGCACCGAAGCAUAGGCGUAAAUUGAAA